CCCGCCCAGCCCUCCUCCCUCGCCUGUGCCUCCGUCUCCCACGCCCCCCAGCCCGGCGCCGCCUAGCCCGGCGCCGCCUAGCCCGGCGCCUCCCAGCCCUCCUCCCUCGCCUGUGCCUCCGUCUCCCGCGCCUCCCAGCCCGGCGCCGCCUAGCCCGGCGCCUCCCAGCCCUCCUCCCUCGCCUGUGCCUCCGUCUCCCGCACCUCCCAGCCCGGCGCCGCCUAGCCCGGCGCCUCCCAGUCCUCCUCCCUCGCCUGUGCCUCCGUCUCCCGCACCUCCCAGCCCGGCGCCGCCUAGCCCGGCGCCUCCCAGCCCGCCUCCCUCGCCUGUGCCUCCGUCUCCCGCGCCUCCCAGCCCGGCGCCGCCUAGCCCGGCGCCUCCCAGCCCUCCUCCUUCGCCGGUGCCUCCGUCUCCCGCGCCUCCCAGCCCGGCGCCGCCUAGCCCGGCGCCUCCCAGCCCUGCUCCCUCGCCUAUGCCUCCAUCUCCCGCACCUCCCAGCCCGGCGCCGCCUAGCCCUGCACCUCCCAGCCCGCCUCCCUCGCCUGUGCCUCCGUCUCCCGCACCUCCCAGCCCGGCGCCGCCUAGCCCUGCACCUCCCAGCCCACCUCCCUCGCCUGUGCCUCCAUCUCCCGCACCUCCCAGCCCUCCUCCCUCGCCUUUGCCUCCGUCUCCCGCACCUCCCAGCCCGGCGCCGCCUAGCCCGGCGCCUCCUUACCCUCCUCCCUCGCCUGUGCCCCCUUCUCCCGCACCUCCCAGCCCGGCGCCGCCUAGCCCGGCGCCUCCCAGCCCUCCUCCCUCGCCUGUGCCUCCGUCCCCCACGCCUCCCAGCCCGGCGCCGCCUAGCCCGGCACCUCCCAGCCCUCCUCCCUCGCCUGUGCCUCCGUCUCCCGCACCUCCCAGCCCGGCGCCGCCUAGCCCGGCGCCUCCCAGCCCUCCCCCCUCGCCUGUGCCUCCGUCUCCCGCACCUCCCAGCCCGGCGCCGCCUAGCCCGGCGCCUCCCAGCCCUCCUCCUUCGCCGGUGCCUCCGUAUCCCGCACCUCCCAGCCCGGCGCCGCCGAGUCCUGAGCCACCGUCACCUGCUCCGCCUUACCCGCCUUCACCAGCUCCUCCUUACCCUGCACCGUCAUAUCCACCUUCUCCGGCGCCCUUCUAUCCUCCUUCACCUGCCCCAUCGUAUCCACCUUCUCCUGCACCCUCCUACCCUCCUUCGCCCGCCCCAUCGUAUCCACCUUCUCCGGCGCCCUCCUAUCCGCCUUCACCUGCCCCAUCGUAUCCACCUUCUCCUGCACCCUCCUACCCUCCUUCACCCGCCCCAUCGUAUCCACCUUCUCCGGCGCCCUCCUAUCCUCCUUCACCUGCCCCAUCGUAUCCACCUUCUCCUGCACCCUCCUACCCUCCUUCACCCGCCCCAUCGUAUCCACCUUCUCCGGCGCCCCUCUACCCUCCCUCUCCUGCCCCAUCGUAUCCACCUUCUCCGGCGCCCCUCUACCCUCCCUCUCCUGCUCCGCCGUUUCCCGCACCACCCAGUCCUCCUUCGCCAGGAGCGCCUCGUCCGCCCCGCCCUCCUCCUCCGCCCCCCCCUUCACCCAGGCCC
rnacentral:lncRNA from 1 species